rnacentral:sRNA from 1 species
AAAAAAUUUAAAUAUCAUUUAUCAUAAAAUGCUUGUUUUGAGCUAUCUUACAUUGUGUUGUGCUCUGAUUGCAACUUUCGCCAAGGCUCAGGAUCCUGAAAGCGAUGACUACUCAUUGUACAUACCAUAUUCAUGGUUUUAGCAUAUACGAAGUAUGUUUGAAAAAUUCCGUUGUGAAAUGAUUAACUAAAAUUAUAUUUUGAAGUAUUUCAAAGCUAUAACAUUUUCUGCAGUAAGGCUUAGGGAAAAUGUUUAGCAUUUGAAUAUUAAAAUAAAAAAAAGUGAUCUUGAGUAAA